UCAUAUGACUUUGUGUUCUUGAGUGAGC
rnacentral:piRNA from 1 species